rnacentral:rRNA from 1 species
CUUAGGAUGAACGCUGGCGGCGUGCCUAACACAUGCAAGUCGAACGAAGCACCUUAUCCGACGAAGUGGAGUGCUUGCACAAAGCGGAGUCAACCAAGGUGACUUAGUGGCGGACGGGUGAGUAACGCGUGGGUAACCUGCCGUAUACAGGGGGAUAACAGUUAGAAAUGACUGCUAAUACCGCAUAAGCGCACAGAAUCGCAUGAUACAGUGUGAAAAGCCGAGGCGGUAUACGAUGGACCCGCGUCUGAUUAGCCAGUUGGCAGGGUAACGGCCUACCAAAGCAACGAUCAGUAGCCGGCCUGAGAGGGUGAACGGCCACAUUGGGACUGAGACACGGCCCAAACUCCUACGGGAGGCAGCAGGUGGGGGAUAUUGCACAAUGGGGGAAACCCUGAUGCAGCCGACGCCGCGUGAGCGAAGAAGUAUUUCGGUAUGUAAAGCUCUAUCAGCAGGGAAGAAAAUGACGGUACCUGACUAAGAAGCUCCGGCUAAAUACGUGCCAGCAGCUGC